AGUGAACGCUGGCGGCAGGCCUAACACAUGCAAGUCGAACGGCAGCACGGCAGUAGCAAUACUGUGGGUGGCGAGUGGCGGACGGGUGAGGAAUACAUCGGAAUCUACCCUGUUGUGGGGGAUAACGUAGGGAAACUUACGCUAAUACCGCAUAAGAACUGAGGUUGAAAGCGGCGGACCGCAAGGCGUCGCGCGAUUGGAUGAACCGAUGUCCGAUUAGCUAGUUGGCGGGGUAAAGGCCCACCAAGGCGACGAUCGGUAGCUGGUCUGAGAGGACGACCAGCCACACUGGAACUGAGACACGGUCCAGACUCCUACGGGAGGCAGCAGUGGGGAAUAUUGGACAAUGGGCGCAAGCCUGAUCCAGCCAUGCCGCGUGGGUGAAG
rnacentral:rRNA from 1 species